GGGAAUAUGACUCAAUUGGUAGAGUGUUUGCUUUGCACGUAAAAAGUUGUUGGUUCAAAUCCAACUAUUUCCA
rnacentral:tRNA from 3 species